UGGGGAAUUUUGGACAAUGGGCGAAAGCCUGAUCCAGCAAUGCCGCGUGAGUGAAGAAGGCCUUCGGGUUGUAAAGCUCUUUUGUCAGGGAAGAAACGGUGAGGGCUAAUAUCCCUUGCUAAUGACGGUACCUGAAGAAUAAGCACCGGCUAACUACGUGCCAGCAGCCGCGGUAAUACGUAGGGUGCAAGCGUUAAUCGGAAUUACUGGGCGUAAAGCGUGCGCAGGCGGUUUUGUAAGUCUGAUGUGAAAUCCCCGGGCUCAACCUGGGAAUUGCAUUGGAGACUGCAAGGCUAGAAUCUGGCAGAGGGGGGUAGAAUUCCACGUGUAGCAGUGAAAUGCGUAGAUAUGUGGAGGAACACCGAUGGCGAAGGCAGCCCCCUGGGUCAAGAUUGACGCUCAUGCACGAAAGCGUGGGGAGCAAACAGGAUUAGAUACCCCCGUAGUCC
rnacentral:rRNA from 1 species